CCCAUUUAUUUUCAUCUCUCAUCACUUUCACAUCUGUGAUUUUCUUCCUUCCUCCCAAGAACGGGAGGCGUUUUCUCCUGCCAUUAAGGAGAGGUGGUUACUAGGGCCUGAGUCAGGCGUUUCCAGCUUGCUUCUGGAGCUUGACCAGUUUCCCAUCUCCACAGCACUUAGGAGAAACUGGAAGCUGGCAUUGCCCCAUGUGAGCCCCCAUGCUAAGUCACCUGGCCGGCUGGUGCCACCUUUGCAAAAACAAACACACAAAACAGAGACUGAAAGUACAACCAGAACAAACAAGCCUUUGGUGUUUAGUUGUGAAGGAAGAGCAACUGGGGCCAAAAGAAGUCACAAGGAAUGGAAGAAAGAGAGAUAUCUGCUGGGUGCAGGGAGGAUGGAAGAGGAAGGCCAGGCACAUAACGAGCCAUCACUCAUCACCUCUUCUGAGUCCACUGUACCCACUUGACCAAGGGAACCUUUGUGCCACCUGAUGGAGGAGAAGACAUACAUCACAACAGAGCCCAGAGCACUCUCAUUACAUCUUCCUGCAGAUCUUAAUUAAUGGAAAAGUGCCAUGGAAACACAGUGCGGCAUCCUAAUGGGCCUCUCC
ensembl:lncRNA